UACAGCCAUAACACGUUGAAAUACCGGUUGUCGUACGAUCACCGAAGUUAAACAACAUUGAGCCUGGUCAGUAUCGAGAUGAGUGACCGAUUGGGAAUACCAGGUGUUGUAAG